AUUGAACGCUGGCGGCAUGCUUUACACAUGCAGGUCGAACGGUAACAGGCCGCAAUGUGCUGACGAGUGGCGAACGGGUGAGUAAUGCAUCGGAACGUGCCCAGUCGUGGGGGAUAACGCAGCGAAAGCUGUGCUAAUACCGCAUACGAUCUAUGGAUGAAAGCGGGGGACCGUAAGGCCUCGCGCGAUUGGAGCGGCCGAUGUCAGAUUAGGUAGUUGGUGGGGUAAAGGCCUACCAAGCCGACGAUCUGUAGCUGGUCUGAGAGGACGACCAGCAACACUGGGACUGAGACACGGCCCAAACUCCUACGGGAGGCAGCAGUGGGGAAUUUUGGACAAUGGGCGCAAGCCUGAUCCAGCAAUGCCGCGUGCAGGAAGAAGGCCUUCGGGUUGUAAACUGCUUUUGUACGGAACGAAACGGUCUGGGUUAAUACCCUGGGCUAAUGACGGUACCGUAAGAAUAAGCACCGGCUAACUACGUGCCAGCCGCCGCCGUAA
rnacentral:rRNA from 1 species